CGUAGGGGGCAAAGCGUUGUCCCGGAAUUAUUUGGGCGUAAAGCGCGCGCAGGGCGGUCCUUUAAGUCUGAUGUGAAAGCCCACGGCUCAACCCGUGGAGGGUCAUUGGAAACUGGAGGACUUGAGUACAGAAGAGGAGAGUGGAAUUUCCACGUGUAGCGGUGAAAUGCGUAGAGAUGUGGAGGAACACCAGUGGCGAAGGCGACUCUCUGGUCUGUAACUGACGCUGAGGCGCGAAAGCGUGGGGAGCGAACAGGAUUAGAUACCCUGGUAGUCCACGCCGUAAACGAUGAGUGCUAGGUGUUAGGGGGUUUCCGCCCCUUAGUGCUGAAGUUAACGCAUUAAGCACUCCGCCUGGGGAGUACGGCCGCAAGGCUGAAACUCAAAAGAAUUGACGGGGGCCCGCACAAGCGGUGGAGCAUGUGGUUUAAUUCGACGCAACGCGAAGAACCUUACCAGGUCUUGACAUCCUCUGCAAUCGGUAGAGAUACCGAGUUCCCUUCGGGGACAGAGUGACAGGUGGUGCAUGGUUGUCGUCAGCUCGUGUCGUGAGAUGUUGGGUUAAGUCCCGCAACGAGCGCAACCCUUGAUCUUAGUUGCCAGCAUUUAGUUGGGCACUCUAAGGUGACUGCCGGUGACAAACCGGAGGAAGGUGGGGAUGACGUCAAAUCAUCAUGCCCCUUAUGACCUGGGCUACACACGUGCUACAAUGGAUGGAACAAAGGGAAGCAAAACCGCGAGGUCAAGCAAAUCCCAUAAAACCAUUCUCAGUUCGGAUUGCAGGCUGCAACUCGCCUGCAUGAAGCCGGAAUCGCUAGUAAUCGCGGAUCAGCAUGCCGCGGUGAAUACGUUCCCGGGCCUUGUACACACCGCCCGUCACACCACGAGAGUUGGUAACACCCGAAGUCGGUGAGGUAAC
rnacentral:rRNA from 1 species